ACUGCCCCAGCCUCUUGCCAACAUGCGACGUCCACUUGGGAGCAUGAACCCCCUGAUAGACACAGAGACUCGCAGGCAUUGCCUCCUGUUUGUGGCACCUUUUUGCCUUGACACUGCUCUCGUUACACUCCUGUACCAAUUAGCAUAGGUCGUGCCACCAUCCCACUCGCCCCGCUCACCCUCCAGCCUCCCAGCUCAGACUCACUGCCUGCUCCCUGCAGGGGCAACGGGGCAGCCUUGGGCACCAGGAUGCGCUUCACUGAGGGCCUUUGCCUUGGACUAAGCAUCCCAGGAGCAGGGGAAAUCUCUCCCGAGCAAUGCACAUGUCAGUGGAGAGCGGAGCCAAGUCCUGAGCUGGAGGGCUUGGCUUGGUGUGUGCCAGGCUGGGCUUCUCUUCCCAGCUCGAUGCUCACUUGGGAAAGGAAGGGGCAAUGGAUGCCCACUGGAGCCCAGGCAGCUGGCAUAGCUCCUCACUGCUGCUGUGUGCUUCACCUGCCUUUGUGGGGUGCGGGGUGUCUGCUUUCUGGGCAGGGAGAAGACAAAGGAUGCCCUCCUGGAGCUGAAGGCCGCACUGGAGAGCAGCCCCAAGGUGGUGGCUCACUACCCCGUGGAGGUGCGCUUCGCCCGGGCAGACAGCAUCCUGCUCAGCCCCUGCUUCCAGCGCGACAGCUGCUACAUGAACAUCAUCAUGUACAGGCUCACGCCUGCACCCGGACGGACUUUGAGAAGAUAUACCCCGGCUUCCCGAAGUUCUGCUCCAUCCGGGAGAAGCUGGAUCCUACAGGGAUGUUCCUGAACACCUACCUGGAGAAGGUGCUGUACUGAGGGUGGACGGGGAAGGAUGGCAACCCUGGACAGCUGGUGCCAUGUGCUCCAUUCCUGGAGGCAGGGGCACUGCUCCUGGUACAGCUCCCUUCUACUCCCAGAUCCCUUGGGACUGAACCAAAUCCUUGUCCAAGAACACUGCUCCCCUGGGGUGGUCCAGCUUUGACCUGGCAUAGGAGGAGUGCAUCCAGCAUCUGUUCAGGGAUUUAGAUUAGAUGACCCUUCAAGUUCCUUCCAGCCUUAGGGCUCUACGAUCCUAUAUGUCUCUUAGCUAAGUUGCUCUUGAGUCUCUGUCUCCUUUGUGUCUUGUACAGCUCCAAGCGCUCAUACCUCAAUAAAAAAUCCUCACUGAG